AAGGUGAGUGGGAAGGAGCAGAACCCAGGUGUGGGAGGAGAUGUUGUAAAGGGGAUUCUGUGCUCUGCCCCUCUGCUGAGCCCCUGGGAUGUCCAGCUCACAGGAAUAAUGACCCUGGAAUCUCGUGUCCUGAAAGCAGAGCCAGGCCUGACCUCCCCAGCUCCAUUUGAACCCCAGAAGUUCAAAUCCUGAGCUGCCCUGGAGCUCCUGCCACCUCUUCCAUGAGGAACAUGCAGCUUUAUUUUACCUCUUGGUACCACACCAGCUUCUCCCAGGGUGGGGAGUCCUGUGCACACCCAGUGCUGAGCCCUGUGCUGGGCCAGGAGACUGCUUGGAGUUGAAUUGAGCUCCCCUCCUGUGGCUCAGAAGGCUGAAUCUACAUUUUUAGGGAUUUUUUUUUUUUUUUCCCUCCAAUUUAUUGAGGUACGAAGGGAAGAUUAUGGCACUUGAUGAUUUAAUCAACAUAAUCUCUAGAUAAAACAUGCUUAUGUUAUACUACUGGGAGAUAUUAAUUUAUGCUGGUGUGCUUCUCCAAGGGUAAAUUAAAUCAUUAGUUUUAAGACUGGAUUAGCUGCACAUGUGCCCUGCCUCUUAAAAAGGCAGUUCAGGAGUUCUUAAAAGCUUCUUGUGUUGGCAUUUCUCAGGAGUCAUCAAAUCCCUGCAGUGCAGGUGCCAUGAAAAGUGGAACUGUGGUGCAGCCCCUGAAGGUGGGACACGGCUCUUGCCCAGGAGCAGAAUUUUACCAUCAUUAAUUCAGAGAGAAGGCUUUGCCCCAGCUCUGGGAAAGCAGAACUGCUCUCCAACUCAACCCUUGAGCACCUGAGCUGGUUCAGGGGGUGCCUGGAGCAGUGUCCACACCCAUCUCCCCCUGGAGAGAGGCUGGGACACCCAGGGUGUGUCAAGGAGCCAAGGCCAGGUUGGGUGGCUUGGGGCACCCUGGUCUGGUGGAAGGUGUCCCUGGAACGAGAGGAGCUCUAAGGUGCCUCCCAACCCAAACCAUUCUGGGAUUCUGGCUUGAUGUGCUUGGCUGACCUUGGAAAUUCAGUCAGCACCUCUGAACUGCCUGAAAAUCCUCCCAAAUGUAUCAUCGCAGCUCCGUGAGCGCAGAACAAGAAUUAAGAGCAGGAGAUACCCACCGAGGAGAGGAGAUGGAAAGGUGCCCAGCUGGUACUUGUCACUUGUGACUGCAGGCAUCAAGGAUGUGUCACCGGCAGAGCAAAAGGGGAGCAAUGUUAUUUUUUGUCUGGAUCAGGCAGUUUCCUCUCUCCAAGUACCACAGGCUGACACGAGGUGCUGCUGAACACUCACUCUGCUUUAUCUUUGCCUAGGCUGCUGAUGGCUCUCCUGCAUCUCCCAUCCAGCCAUCCAAGACUUGUCCUGCAGCCACAGAGAUCCAGGCCAGUGUUGGGGGGCAGGGACUGCACUGCCACAGGGGACUCCAGACCUCAGUCCUGGGACAGAGACAGAGCCAAAGCAGGUGAGGGCAGUGCCCUCUGAAGCAGGAGGACACAUCCAUGUGGGCCACUGUCCUUGGAUGUGGGAGGAUGGGAGGAGAAGAGGGCCAAGGCAUCUGCCUUGGAGAUGGAGAAGUGCUGCAGGCUCCCAGCUUGCCUUUUGUGCCAUCCUGAACUCUGUGGGUAUCAUGCACUGCAUGUCGCUCCCCCAGUGCACUGAGAGCAUUUCAGCUCGAGGAACCAUCAGCAACACCGUUAUCUUUUCUGCCAGUCCUGCCUGAUAAAUCUGCUCCCUCCAGGAUGGCUGAGCCCACUCACCCCUGAUGUGCUGCAGCAGAUCCCCAGGUACAGGCAGCAGUGCCACGGGGGCAGCGCGACGUCGAGACCUGUCGGAGGGUUAAAAAAGGAAUAAACACAGAGGAAAGGAAACCCUGCUCUGCCAGAGACCUUGUUGGAGAAGCUUAUCUAAUUAACCUCGAAUUGCCCACAGUGUGGUGGUGUGCCAGCAAAGAAGCAGGAAUUGUCUCCAUUGGGUGUCUGUCCCCUUGGAAGUGCUGGCCAGACCUGCAGACACAAGAAGGGUUGGAGCAGAGCAAGGCUGUGGGGGCAUUCCCCAUCCAGAUGUCUGACUCAAACUGCAGGGAUGUUGUUGCACAGCUCCAGGUCCCUUUCCUGAGUUGGCAAAGCCUCCUCACAGCUCCCUCAAAGUGCUUCUUCAAUGGAUCCAAGCGCCUCAGCCUCUCCAGACCCCUGAUCCCUGCCCUCUGUGGGUCUGUGUGAGGAGCUCCAGGCAGGGAUGUGGGGCUCUGGCUGGCUCCUCUUGCAGGUGAUCCCUGCUGUGGCUGCCAGAGCAAACACCUGCUGUGUGUGAGCAUCUCCAGCCCGCUCUGCAGUGAGGAACAAAGGGCUGCUGUGUCCCAGCCCAUGAAGGAGAGAUGUGGCUGCACACCCCACACGUGGCUGUGCCCAGGGAGGGCACUGCUGGGCCACGUUCCUCACCAGCAUCCUCCCUUCCCACAGAGCACCCUCCCAGCCCCAGCUGCUGACAGGAGCAGGGCUCUCCUCUGCAGAGAGAAUGGAAACACCCAGCCUCAAGGAUUUCUGGAGGGAAAAUCAUCUGGGCUCAUGAUAAGGCUUUUCUUUUUUUCUUUCCUUUCUUCUGAGGUGUAGCAAUUACAUUAAAUAAGGAGCUGUCACUGCAAUGCCUGUCUUGCCUUCUGACAACCUGCUCUUCUCAGGAGCUUGGGUGGGAAAAACACAUACAUCAGAUGUGCUUUUCCUCUUGUUUACACUCCUGCUUCGCCUUGACUCACCUGAAGGGAAGACUCCAGGUUCAUCCCACUGCUGAGGGUUCCCUGGAGCUGUCAGGUGCAUCCCCAGCAGCUCCCCCUUUGCACACACCCUCGGGUGGUUUCUGCAGGGAAACACUUCCGAUUAAAUCUUGCUUGUCCGAGGGAGAAAACCAGGGAGAAAUGUGCUGGGAAGGCUGUUGUGACAGAGAGCUGUCAGGGAAGGGAAUGGCAUUCCAAGGCUGCUGCUCUGCCCCGUGGGAGGAAAGGCUUCAAACAGCAAUUAGCCUGCACUGCCAUUUCCAGGGAAACAGCUCUUGGUGCGCUGGACAAUGGGCUGCAGGAGGCAGGCAGGUUAAAAGCUCUAAUUCUAGGAGGAUAUAUUUAGGUGGGCUUUUUUCCUUUCAAAGGAAGGUGGGUUAGAAAGGCUCUGACUCCUUUAAAUAGACGCUCCUGCCAUAAGGAGCUCGGAGCUGCGUCAGCGGCACUGGCUGUUCCCUUCCAGCCCAGCUGGGGUGUCUGGGAACCUGCCCUGGGUCACAGCACAGGGGCUGAAGGAAAAGGGUCUGGGUUCCCUCGGCAGCUGUCACAGGGAGAGGUUCUCUGCUGCCGCUCAGCAGCUGUGUUAUUUAUUCUGUUAGCUGGAAAAGAGCGGUGUAAAUGAUAAUUUAGUCUGGGUGAGUGCAGCACAGCGCAAAACUCAGCACCCAAGCCAGAGCUGUGUUCUGCUGCUGCUGUCCCUGGAUCCCUGAAUGUCCCUGAUCCCCUCUGGGGCAUGUGCUGGGGUAUGGGGACAGCUGAGGGCCUGCAGAGGGGAGCUCGUGGCAAUAGGACAGGUCUGUUUGACCCAAAGGGGCUUCCUCUGGCACGCAGACGUGUCUGAGUGAGCAUGGGGAGUCCAGCAGGAGCAGGGCUGCUCUGUAAUGCUGAGAAGCUCAAGGAAUUCGCUCCAGCUGUCAGGCUCUUUCUCAGGGCAGGUUGGCCUGGCUGUCUGGGAGCUGUCCUGGUGGUGUUUGGGCUGUCACCCUCGGAGCCACGAGCUGCUGACACACUUUGCUGGAUGUGCUGUGCUUUCCCAGAAAUGUGUUUUCCCCAUGUGGCUGGGCAGACUGUGAUCCCAGACAAGGAGCUCCCAGAUUGGUGUUAACAGAGGGUAAGAGGAGCUGACAGAAGCUUUUUCCCCUCCUUUGCUUUGGCAUACCUGGGCCUGCUCAUUUCCCCAAAUAUUGCUGCUCUUGGUUAACUUGUGGUGUCCCUGCUAGUGAUGGGGGGAUUGGAAGUAGAUGAUCCUUAAGGUCCCUUCCCAGCCAAUCCAUUGUUUUUGUGAACUCCUGGCAGCCCUUUCUGUCUCCCUCAAGUGCUCCUUGCUCCAAACUCCUUCCACUGACACUUGUGUCCAUUCCCUGCUGCUGUGCUUGGCCCGUUGUGCUCCCUCAGGUGUCUCCAGCUCAGCCAUCCUCUCCCACAGCUCUCCUGGCCAGCACAGCUCAUUCCCAAGCUGGGCAGCUUCUCCUGGAGCAGAGCUCCAGGCUCUGUGCCCGGCUGUGGGGGCUCUGUGUUCGUGCCCCUUCCCCAGAGCAGUGGGAAGGGCAGAUGCUGUGCAGGGGAGGCUGAGGUGGGAGGUGGCACCAAGGUCCCUGUGACUCAGGAAUUGCCAUCAGCUGCCUGCUGUGUUCUGGCUUUUUCCAGUGGUCCUGCUGAGGAGCUGCAUCCUCUCUGCCUUCCCAGGGGGGCUCAGAGCAAAGCACCCUGCCCUUUGAAGUGUGGGGACAAUUUACUGAGGUUAUUCACGUGGGUUUUGUGGUGUUUAGUCUGACAAGAAGAGUGCUGUCACUGCUUGGCUGUUGUUUGCUCCUGUCUGUGCUCCCACAAGCAUCAGUGAGGCUCUUGCUGCCCUCCAAAACCCCUUUGCCAAACUCUGCAGGGACAGAGUGAGCUUUGGCUGGCAGAAAGGAGCCUCUGGCACUGGGUCCUUCCCCCCAGGGCUCCUCUUGGCCGUGUCCAGCACGAGUGGUGUUUGUUGGCAGGGAUCCCUCCCUGCACUGCUGCCUGCCUCCUGCUCGCUCCUGAGAGGAACCAGCAGCACGUGAUGGUUUCAGAGACAAAUCGGGCUCCCAGGUGUCAGGGCAGAAGUUAAAGCAUCUGGAAAUCUGACCUUCACCUGCCUGCAACUCAUUCUGCUCACAGGUGGGAACAAACCUUGGCAAAUAACCGUGCUCCUCCUGGGGAAGCAGGGAAAAUGCUGGGGUAUGGCAGGGCUGGGCUGCAGGGCUGGGAGGUGCUGCCCUGGCUGUCCAGGGGCUGUCCCUGUCCCCUGUGUCCCUGGAGGAGUGGGGAGGAGCAGGUUCAAACCCCAGCCCUGGGCAGCAGGGGCUGAGCGCUCCAGUGCUGGCCAGCUCCGAGCUGCCGCGGGCUGAUCCAUCACCAGGGACUCUGGCCAGCCCUGGGGCCAGUGAAGUCCCUUGGAGAGGGGACAGCCUCCCCUUGCUCCCUGCCCCACGGCCCCUCUCACCCUGCUGGCUGGAUUUGUCCACGCUGGCCGAGGAUGAAGUCCCAGAUCUCUCUGGGCAGCGAUAGGAUCAGACCAGCCAGCUCUGCUUUAACGAGAUCCCAGGCACUGGAGCUGCCCCCUGCCCUUAUCUCCCCUGUGCAGAUGCACAGUGCCCUCCUCUCCCUCCAGACUGGCAGGAAGAGCUGGAUCCCUGCCACAGCCCCUUCCCUACCCAGAAAUAAAAGGGGGGUGGAUGCCAGAGGAAGGCACAAACACAGCACUGCCCAAGGGGCUCCCAGGGCCUCCUGGAGGCUGGCUGAUGGAAAGGGAACACUCCUAGCCAGGGAAAUGAGUGCCAGAACAUGUCUCCUGGCCAGAGUGGCCACCAAGAGCCAAAAAUGUGGAAAAAUAGGUAGAAAGAGGAUAUAGACAGCACCCAGUACAGAGCCUGGAAAAUGCAGAAAUUGGGAGGGGAAGAAUGGGAUGAGGAACUUGAGUGGAAUUACUAGCAGUGAGGAGGAGGAAUUGAUUUCCAGCAUAUGGAGAAAAAAAAGCUGGGGGGGGGGAAGAAAAAAAAGCUCUCAGCAAUGCUACUGGACUUGGAAAAGCUGAGUGUGGUGUUCUCUGUCGAGAAGGGAUGAUGCCUUCAGUUCAUUUGACAGUGAUCCUGUGGGAAUCUGUCCCUGUUCCUGCCCUGGCCCACGUUUGAAUCACCAUUUUUGAAGAGUUAAGAUUUUAGCUAAGAGUUAGAAGCAACUUAAAAUGAUCAAGAUGUAAGUCAGAUAAGCCAAUGGUGGGUAAAUGAUUAUUAGAUGCUUAAGCCAGAGCUAAUUGUGGUAUUGUUUGCUGUUAUGAGCUUGUUUAUAGAGGGAGGUGAAGUGAAUAAGAACAGAUUGAAACCAGUGAGAACAAUGACCUGGACUCUGCACCAAUCCAUCACCGAACAGGGGGCCUUAGAUGGUGCCAAAGGGUCACAGAGACCUGAUGAAGACCUCCUGACUUCAUCCUUUGAAGACCACUGACCCAAUUUGAGACCACCGGCUCAAACCAAGAGAAGAAUUGUGCAGACAUGAAGGGCUAAUUGCCUCAUGUUAAUACUGGAUGGGGAUGGGAGGUGCUGGGGUUAUGCAUAUGGAUUGUAUGGAAGAUCUUAGGAAAUAAACAGAAGGAAAAGAACCUCGUUCAGGGCAGUCACACCUUUUGGGAAUGACCCCUGUGCUGCCCACUGGUGAAUAAACAUAUCACUUUUUAACUUCCAUUA